ACUUUCCCUCCCUCUCCUCCUUCUUUCAUUUUCAUGACCUUCUUAUUGCAAAGAGAACGAAACCACAUUACUCCUUCUUCAUGACUCACAAAGCCAAGUGGAAUCAUUACCCACUCCCUAUCUUCCACUCACACUCACCUUUGAGACAAUCAUUAAGCUAGGAGGUGAGAAGAUUUUAUUCUUUCUUUGAACCAUUUAGGAGUCAUCGUGAAGCUUGAGAAAGGAAGGAGAUUUUUCCACUGUUGGGAGCUUGAAGCUUCAUAUAUUUGUGCUUUAAAUAUCAGAGGAAUAUUGACUCUAGUUAUGAUUUUGAGUUGGAACCACCAUUGGAACCCAUUUUGGGAUAGGGUUCUAAUCUUGAUAUUUCAAGAAUUGGGGGGUUCUCAUGGAUGAGGGAUUGGUCUAUAUCGAAGAAAGGAUCAUGCUUAGCCACUAAGGCUAAUCCUAUAUUUUUUUAUGUUAACUUGUCUUUUUGGGGUUUUACUUGUAAAGUUUAGGGGUAUAGUUACUUGUAAAACCAUUUCUUUUGGAAAAGCUUGUAGAUGUUUUAAUGACUUGUAAUAUAGGUUUGUAUUGAUGAAUGCAUGAAUGAUAUAAUUUGGGAUGUAAUGUGCUUAAAAUCAAAAAGAUGUAUAUAUACAAGAUGUGAU